rnacentral:rRNA from 1 species
CACGGGGGGAGCAAGCGUUGUUCGGAAUCACUGGGCGUAAAGGGCGUGUAGGCGGUCAAGUAAGUGGGGUGUGGAAGCCCCCGGCUCACCCGGGGAUCUGCAUUCCAAACUGCUUGGCUUGAGUACGGGAGAGGAUGAGGGAAUUCCUGGUGUAGCGGUGAAAUGCGUAGAUAUCAGGAGGAACACCGGUGGCGAAGGCGCUCAUCUGGCCCGAUACUGACGCUGAGGCGCGAAAGCUAGGGGAGCAAACGGG